AACCAUCUUCAUGAAAGUUGUUCCUUAGCUCGUGAACUACAACAUAUCCGAAUUGGAGAUCCAUCGGAGCAGUACAACUCCAGAAAUUCAGGUAGUAUGAUGAGUGAUUGUUCGUCAUUUGUAUAUCAACGCGUCAGACUUGUUGUGAGCUUCAAAAACUCCAUUUUUUCUCUUGCUCAGAUCAACAUACUUUCUUCAUCGAAGUUGUUCCUUAACUUGUGAACUACAACAUAUCCAAAAUUGAGAUCCCUCGGAGCUGUAUAACUCAAGAAAUUCAGGUAUGAUGAAUGACUGGUUAUUAUUAUUUUUCUGUCAACCCGUCAGAUUUGUUGUGAGCUUCGAAACUCCAUUUUCUAUUAUUCAGAUCAGCAUGCUUUCUUCAUUGAAGUUGUUCCUCAUCGUCUCUUUCAUAACAUAUCAAAAAUUCAGAAUGAACUAAUGGUUAAAUAUUUCCAGAUCUUCGAAACAUCACAGCAGCUUCGAAAUCUGCAAGAAUCCGACUGUCAUGUUUGGAGCUUCAACACUUUAAUUUCCGUCGCUCAAACAGAAAUGGUUCCUUCUUGAAAGUUGUUCAUAUGCUCAAAAACUAUAGGGUGUCCAAAAUUCAGCUCCAUUGGAGAAGAGCAGAGGUUGCAGAAAUUUGAUAGAUGAAAGGAGGCGGAAGAGGGAGAGAGAGAAAAAGUCUCUUGGGUUGGAUUUCUAUUUUGGGGCAGAUUCCAAUUUUUGUAGCACCUUCAUUAUUGAUGAAUUGCUUGUACUUUUGUCCAUUAAGAAACCUGGGACUUUGGCUUGUUGUUGGAUCUAUUAUAAUAUGUUUGGGAACAUAUAUAAGUGAAUAAAUAAGAAGGAAGAUUUUGG
rnacentral:lncRNA from 1 species